rnacentral:rRNA from 1 species
AGUGAACGCUGGCGGUAGGCCUAACACAUGCAAGUCGAACGGCAGCACAGUAAGAGCUUGCUCUUACGGGUGGCGAGUGGCGGACGGGUGAGGAAUACAUCGGAAUCUACUUUUUCGUGGGGGAUAACGUAGGGAAACUUACGCUAAUACCGCAUACGACCUACGGGUGAAAGCAGGGGAUCUUCGGACCUUGCGCGAUUGAAUGAGCCGAUGUCGGAUUAGCUAGUUGGCGGGGUAAAGGCCCACCAAGGCGACGAUCCGUAGCUGGUCUGAGGGGAUGAUCAGCCACACUGGAACUGAGACACGGUCCAGACUCCUACGGGAGGCAGCAGUGGGGAAUAUUGGACAAUGGGCGCAAGCCUGAUCCAGCCAUACCGCGUGGGUGAAGAAGGCUUUCGGGUUGUAAAGCCCUUUUGUUGGGAAAGAAAAGCAGCAGGUUAAUACCCCGCUGUUCCGACGGUACCCAAAGAAUAAGCACCGGCUAACUUCGUG